UGGGGGAUAUUGCACAAUGGGCGAAAGCCUGAUGCAGCGACGCCGCGUGGGGGAUGAAGGCCUUCGGGUUGUAAACUUCUUUUGCUCUGAACAAGGCAUGCUAAUGGGUGUGUUGAGCGUAGGGGUUGAUUAGCGCCGGCUAACUACGUGCCAGCAGCCGCGGUAAUACGUAGGGCGCGAGCGUUGUCCGGAAUUAUUGGGCGUACAGGGCUUGUAGGUGGCUGGUUGCGUCUGUCGUGAAAGCUCAUGGCUUAACUGUGGGUUUGCGGUGGGUACGGGCUGGCUUGAGUGCAGUAGGGGGAGCUAGACUUCCUGGUGUAGCGGUGGAAUGCGCAGAUAUCAGGAGGAAUACCGGUGGCGAAGGCGGGUCUCUGGGCUGUUACUGACACUGAGGAGCGAAAGCAUGGGGAGCGAACAGG
rnacentral:rRNA from 1 species